GACGAACGCUGGCGGCGUGCUUAACACAUGCAAGUCGAACGGAAAGGCCCUGCUUUUGUGGGGUGCUCGAGUGGCGAACGGGUGAGUAACACGUGAGUAACCUGCCCUUGACUUUGGGAUAACUUCAGGAAACUGGGGCUAAUACCGGAUAGGAGCUCCUGCUGCAUGGUGGGGGUUGGAAAGUUUCGGCGGUUGGGGAUGGACUCGCGGCUUAUCAGCUUGUUGGUUGGGUAGUGGCUUACCAAGGCUUUGACGGGUAGCCGGCAUGAGAGGAUGACCGGCCACAUUGGGACUGAGAUACGGCCCAGACUCCUACGGGAGGCAGCAGUGGGGAAUAUUGCACAAUGGGCGGAAGCCUGAUGCAGAAACGCCGCGUGCGGGAUGACGGCCUUCGGGUUGUAAACCGCUUUCGCCUGUGACGAAGCGUGAGUGACGGUAAUGGGUAAAGAAGCACCGGCUAACUACGUG
rnacentral:rRNA from 1 species